rnacentral:lncRNA from 1 species
ACAAGGGUAAGCAGAUAAAUAAUAUUAAAUCAUAAAGUAAAUAAACGAUUAUACUACAGUCUACCAGCUGCUAUGGAAUUACUACCAUAUAAAACGAGUCGCGUUUAUGCUUCACGUGACUAUUAAUCAGAUUCUUCCAGCGUCCCUUAGCAUGUAUGUCCACGCUGAGGGCAAUUCAGCCACAGGUCUAUCAUUAACAAGAUUGUGUCUCCCUUGUCUAAUUAAAAUCUCCACUGUCUCCUGUGUUAUGGCUUGCCCCGGUUUGACGAUUGGUAUUGGUGCUUUCGCUUUGUCCCGUUCUACAGCUGUGUCGGCGGUGUGGGCCUGUUCCGCCAGGGCCGUUGA